rnacentral:lncRNA from 1 species
UUUUGGAUUUUAAAACUCCAGUGCCAAGUAAUUGUUGCUAUUUAUCUCUAAUGAUAAUGUGACUAUACUAUCAUAAAUAUGUUGUUCUCAGGCUUCAGGCAGAGUCAUUCCUGCAAUGGAUCUCUCCUUUGGUAAUUAAGGUAUUUGGCAUUCCAAGAAUAUACACAUAAGAAAAACAAAGUAGCCGGGCGGUGGUGGUGCACGCCUUUAAUCCCAGCACUUGGGAGGCAGAGGCAGGUGGAUUUCUGAGUUCGAGGCCAGCCUGGUCUACAGAUUGAGUUCCAGAACAGCCAGGGCUACACAGAGAAACCCUGUCUUGAAAAAACAAAAAAGGAAAAAGAAAAGAAAAGAAAAGAAAAACAAAGUAACAAAAAAUACACUGAUUCACUUAAAAGUUUGACCUGUAGCCAGGUAUGGUGGUACACACUUUUAACCAGCACUAGGGAGGCAGAUUGUAAUUUCCUGGCUUGCCUGGGCUACAUAUUAAGAACCUGUCUCAAAGCCCCUUCAAAAGAGGUUGACUUAAACCCAAAGGAGUCUUGAUACCAUUGCCACAGGAUGCUGAAACUACUUCCUGUGCAGGGAAUGGUACAUUCACAUUGGUAGCUUCCACUUAAUAAAUCACUCCUGUGCUCACUGGAAGUUUGAGACUAAUGGCGGAGAUAAGGGGUCUUCUGCAGUCUAAAGUUAAAAUAUUUAGUAUAUUGCGGGGUUUUUGAUAGAAACAGAAGGCAGUGCCCCAUGUACC